GUCUCAGUUCGGAUUGUAGUCUGCAACCCGACUACAUGAAGCUGGAAUCGCUAGUAAUCGCGGAUCAGAAUGCCGCGGUGAAUACGUUCCCGGGUCUUGUACACACCGCCCGUCACACCAUGGGAGUCGGAAAUGCCCGAAGUCAGUGACCCAACCGUAAGGAGGGAGCUGCCGAAGGUGGAGCCGGUAACUGGGGUGAAGUCGUAACAAGGUAAC
rnacentral:rRNA from 1 species